GAAAGAUUUCUUCUUGGCCUUGUGCCCUUGAUGCAGUAAAAUUCCUUUUGCUUUCCAAGGAUAAACUACACAAAGAGUGUACACCAAAUUCAGUAUACAGUCAACAGUAUUACUGUAAAGCUGCACAACAAAAUUAAGAAUACUCCCUUUGGUCUCGGUUUGGUGCAAUUAUGGGCUAUUUCCCAGCAAAAUAUGAAGUCUGCAGUUAUGUGCUGAUAAGGGAAAUGCAAUUUCUAGCUGUGAAUCCUGCUGCAGGUGUUGCUGGAACAAGCACUACUGCUGUCAUUUCUGCUGUUUAAAACCUUGCACCAUGUUAUUUUCAAGCUUCACGGGUAGUAUUUGCUACUACUGGACCUUGCCUCUGUACUGUUUUUUUUAUUUCCACCUUUCAAGCUAUUACAAAUAGCCAUAGAACAUCUUCCAGCGUCAAGUCUGCACAAAAAGAAAUUACAUACCCAAAACCAGAAUUGAAUUUGUAAACAAAAUCAUUGAACAGAACUGAAACUCCCUAUUGUACAGUCCAAGUGUAUAUGGUAAAUCACUUUUCUCUUAGAAUGGAUGUUUGCAAUUAAUUAGCAAAUUUCUCUUGGGUUGUAAACACUCAAACUCAUAACCACUCAACUGUUUGGCUUUUCACUCAGAAUUUAGUGACUCUAGUUCUGAUUUCUCAACUGUUUUACUCUUAAAAAUUGGUAGAAUUGAUGGUAAGACAGCCUAGACAGACUUUGGUUGGCAAAGUUCAGAAGUAAAAUAGUAAAAGAAUUGGGUAGGCAGCUUUGGUCGCUCUCAAAAGAAAGUGAAUCAGUUGUGAUUCACGCAAGUCACCCAACUGCAGGUGUGAGAUCUGCUGCUGCACAGUCAACAAAAGUUGCAGCCCGAGAAAUGGUCACUGCUGCACAAAAAUUCACUCUAAUGUUGAUCUUUCCUUGCUUCAAUCCACUCCCUAAGAUGCUACCAAUGUUGUAGGACGGUCUGAACUAAUUCUGCACCCAAAAUAGAGCUCAAACAAACCACCAUCAAUCAAUUUUGAAUGUAGAAAAAGCACUCUACUACUGCCAGAAAUUUCGCAGACCAGAAUGCACAACUGGAUUUUUAUCAAACAGCUUAUAUGCAGAAUUUUCAAACAAUUCAAAUCAAGCAAUUAAAUGGCUUGCAACGAAGGAUGGCACUCAAAAUGAUCUUAGGAAAGGCUCNAGAGUAGAUUUGCAAAGCAAGAAACAAUUAUAAGUUGCAGAUAUGACCAAUUCAACUCAAACUAAAAAUUAGGCAAAAGUGUUUGAUGAAAUGCCUAAAAGAAAUUCUGUGAAGGAUGCACCAGAUUUGAAAAUGACUUGGCACUGGUUCACACAGCUUUUUACUAUACAGUCUUUUGUUAAAUCUGAAUUUUACACGUCUUUUUAAGCAAUUGAACCAAGCCUUUGCCACCAAUUUAAAAUAGAAUUUGGUGCAUAAAUCACUUCAACAAUCAAAACCAGAAAUAUGCAACUUAUAGUAGAAAAAAGUGUUGAAAAUUAGUGGUUUAAUUGGCAAUUUUGCACAAACAAGCUUGAACACUUAAUUUUAUGACUUGAGCCACUUUGUUUUAUCAAAUGGAACUUGAAUCAGCUCCCAGCCGAGGCUAUACACUUGUAACUCAAAAUUUCACGGUAUGAGUUACUCUUUAAAACCAAAAUUUGUGGUUUAAGUGUCAAAUUUGCACAAACAAGUUUGGACACUUAAUUUUAUGAUUUGAGCAACUCUGUUUGACCAAUUAUGACUUGUUCCAACUGCCAGCAGAGGCUACAAACUUGUAACUCAGAUUUUCACUAGUUUAGUUGCUCUUAAGCACCAAAAUUAAGCCAAAUCACCAACCAAAAUUCAACAGAGGAUUCAAAUUGAACUGGAAACACAUCUUAUCACUUUAGGACAACAAAAUAAAUUUGAACAAGACUCUAGGAAUGCAUUAUAAGAUGUCCAGACGUGAGUUCUAUGCUGGACAGAUUCAAAAAAUUUAAAAACUCAGAAACUAAAUAUGCAGAACGGUUCAAUCUGCUGAACUAUNAAUCCUGGAUUCUGNANGGUAAUGCUAUCCACUGGAUUGUCUUAGACACAUCUCAAUUCAGGUGGUAUGCAUUUUUAUCCCAUUGCAUCACAUCCAGCACAAACAACCAUGCAUUCAUUAUAUGAAGACAUGAAGAUUUUCAAUACAGUGCACUAGCAACAAUCACUUUCCAAACGGUGCAGAGACUGAUAUCAACCUUAAAACAGAAUAUAAUUCUGCAACCAUUGGUACUGCUUGGUGAUGGAAUUCAAGAUGCUCUAGGCUUCUAUUGAAUUAUUCCCAUCAACUAUGCAGAUUUAUCCAAACACGGUUGUAACUUAGAAUUUUUGUUGACAAAAAAAAAUGAAAGCAAACGGACAUGACUGGACAUGACUGAAUAAGAUUUCAAAAAAAAAAAUUACUCUAAAACAUGAGAUGAACCGAUUAAAAUGAUAACCACUAAAGCAAAUAAAAGCUAGAUCAAAGAACAUCAAACAACAGAAUCUACUGGAAUUGGAAAUUCAAUGGAACAGUGCACGGCAACACAGAAAACAUGAAUGGAAUGAUGAUGACAGUAUGAAACGAAGAAAAGUGGACUUAGCUGGAACAAUCAAAGCACCGUGAGCAACCUAGGCUCUGAAUACCACUUGAUGGAGUAGCUCCAGCCAUGGACGUGGUUUGAAUUGCAGCGGAAGAUGUUAUCACUCGAACAGAGGCAGCGGAGGAAUUUGCCUGGGGUUUGGCAGCCAUAUGCAGAGAUGAAACAAUGGUUUAGAUGGUGGAUGAAGAGCUGUUUGGAGGAUGAGAUCUCUAGCUCGGACGGCCUUCACUGGAAGGAAGCUAGGUGGAGAGGGAAAGCUCAAUUUAGAAUGACUUUUGGACAGAGUUUUGGGCUGGAAAUGCUUCAGCAGAGCAAAACUCAUAUAUAUCAUCAAAAGUGUUUACAUANGCUGAUACAAGCAAAUUUAUAAUGAAAGACCCAAGCUAUGGANGGAGCAGAUGGUUGUGGAAGAAGCUCAGAUCUCCANACGNGGCAGCGGUGAGGGAUGUGUGUUCUUCUUNUGGAAGAUGCAAGGCAAUGUGCGUGCGCAGCCAACGUUCCAGCCAAAUCACGUACCAGAUGUGGUGAUGGUGUGAUACAUGUGUAUUCUUCUUGAGGNAGNCNCAUCCUUGCUAAGCUUACCCCCCCUUUUGUGUAAAAUGACUUCUUUGUCCUUCUUGGGUUGGUUUGGUCCAUGCUAAAUCAUCUAGUUGAUCCAUGAUCUCCUAGCUUUAUUAGACCUACAAAACACAUAUAAACAUAUUAAAGAGAAUCCUUCUAAGACUUAGAAAAAGAAAAUCAAGAAAGAGCUUUUAAAAGUCCUUCUUCACUUCCCUUUCUUAGCCUUANCUUUAGUUGAUACUCCUUUAAAUGGAAUGCCCUCAAUGGGUUUCCAUCAGGUUGUAUCAUAGAAUUGAUCUCAACACAAAUAGAGCAAGAACCAGAUUCACAACUACAUUUAAAAUUUUCAGAAAACUGUGAAAGAUCAAAAUUUAAUUCUAAGUCUAAAGCAUCUCCAAUUUUCACAGUUUCUAUAUCAAAAUCAUCACUAACACGUGAAUCUGCAGCAAAAUCAAGAAUAUUUGAAUUCAUAAACAACUCAGGCAAAACAAGUGGAAUUUAAAGUUUAGAGAAAACCUGUGUUGAUGCAUGAUUCAUCUCAUCAAUAACAGCAGAAUAAGCAACUGCAUCCUCAAGUGCAAGGGGGGAGGCAUAGGAGGGUGGGGAAGUAGAUGGUGUAGUAGUAAGCUCAUGACUCUGCUCCCCAUCUCCUAUGUGGAUGGCACUGACAUCAUCAAGAUUUGGAACAGUCUGAAAUGGUGAUCCCUCUAAAAAUUGAGAUUGUUCCUCGGUGCACUGCGCAGCCAUCUGCCCCCACAACUCAUUCAAUGUAGGCUCAGAAGAAGUAGAAGAUUUGGCAGGUGCCUUUUACUGUUGUUGCCUCUGAUUUUUCUGUUGUGGUUGCAGGUUAUUGUAGAUAUUGGUAGCAUAAGCUUGAGGCUCAUCAUGAGAAACAAGGUGCUCCAAAGAAGGACAUGCAUCUGUAAAGUGGUCACUAAAAGGACAUAUAACACACAGUCGUGCAACAAAUGCAGAUAGAGGUGCUGGUCUCUGGUUGGAUGCCAGCUGUGUCACCGAACUCACAAGAGAAUCAAGCUUGCUUUCCAAUUUCCUACCAGCAGCUGAUGAAGAAUGGGCAGGCUCAUAAAACUGCAACUGUUGUGGUUCCUGAACAGGUGGAGAAGGCAUACAAGAAUUCGGAAAUGGUUGAUAUUGCUGUGGAGCAUCAUACCAUCCCAAGUUAGGGUCAUUCCAUCCAGGAUCAUUACUGUGACCAUACUGAGCAGGGAAGAUUUCAUCCAAGAACGUAAGCUUAAGAUCUUCCCAAGAAGUGAUGGAUCCUAGAGGAAGACAAUACAACCAAUCCCUUGUUGCUUCUUGUAAUGAAUGUGGAAAUGCCCUUAAGAACAUGACUUCAUCCGGGACAUCUGGAGGUUUCAUUAAAGAGCAUAAUGUGUAGAACUCCUCCAAAUGUCUACGAGGGCAUUCACCUGCAAAACCAUGAAACCUAGGCAGCAAAUGUAUCAAUCCAAUGUUGAAAACACAACGAAUAUCCUCCUCAUCAAGUGGAAACGACUCCCUACGAGCACUCUCAUGAGAUGGAGGAGGAACCUUACUUUUCUUAACAUGGAAAUCAACAGGAGGAUCAUAAUCAUAGGCACAGGCAGAAUAAGCAUUAUCCACAAAGCCAAAAUAGGUAGACAUGGGAAAGAAGGGGGGAGAGAAGAAUGCAAUGAAAAUAUGCAACUAAGGCUACCAAAAUGCAACACACGAUGACUAACACAAAAAACAGAACAUCACACUCACAACACAAGACAAAACACAACACACACUAACACAACAAAAUACCUAAAACCGAACCAUUGGUCCGCGGCAAUGGCGCCAAAAUUUUGAUGGAGGUUGCACCCCAUGCAAAAUUUAAUGUGCAUAAAAGAAUGCAGUAUAGACUAGGAAGUGACUCCUGGGUCGUCUCUCAAGGACCAAAUGUGGUUCGAGAAUCAGGUCAAACACGAAGGUGGGGAGUUGUGAAAGGUUCGUGAAUGCAGAUGAAUUAAAUUGAAACACAGAUGCAAACAGAAAUGUAAAAAUGGAAUCAAACAUAGAAUAAAAAUGGUUGGUCAUUAACUCAAUUACUUUGCUUCCUAUCCCAAAUAAACGACAAGUACACACUACUCUAAUCCAAAUCCGACGCAAAUCACCCAACUAAGCGAAGGCUAAUUUGGUCUUCAAAAUUGCAAACUAAGCGAAUGCAAUGCAUAAAUCUAAUCAGUCAUGCAUCAUACAGUCUAAUCAACUAAGCGAAGACUAAACACCGAUUAAGCAACUAAGCGUAUACCUAAUCGCAGGCAGACAACAGAUUAAAUAUUGAGCAGAAUCAAAGCAGCAGUAUGGCAAUUAAAGUUCAAAAGUCUCAGGGAAGCAAAGUAACUUUAUUAACAACCAACCCGACUAACCUAAGCUAACAUCACAAUCAAAGUAUCGCAACCGAACAGAAUAGACAUCAUUAAAGUAAACGGAAACAAUAAAUUGAACAUGAUUAAAGUCAUGGUUCUUAUAAAAACAUGAUUUUUCUCUUAAUGUUUGAUUAAACACCAAAUAGGGUUCUUCCAGGUUGUCUGAUGAACAUUUAUAUAUUUUUUCUUUUUUAUUUUUCAUAAUGUAGGAAUCAAAGCACAUAUUACAUUAUACCAUUGGGACCUACCACAAACACUUGAGUAUGAAUAUGAAGGAUGGGUUAGUAGAAGAGUUGUGUAUGGUUCCCAGCCUUGUUCUAGACAGAGAUUGUGCAAAUUAAAUCUAGCAUGAUAUUGAGAAGUGGUAUUUAUUGUGAUUUAACACGUGUAUAUAUAUGUUUGUAGGAAAGACUUCACAUCAUAUGAAGAUGUGUGCUUUAGAGAAUUUGGAGACAGAGUGAGUUAUUGAAAUUACCUUGUAAACCAAUAUCAUGUCAUGAUACAUACUAGAUGACUUAAUGAUUAUAUUUUGAAAUAUUAUUGUACUAAUAGUUUUUAUUUAUGUUAAUGAACAUUCUUUUUGAAAUCUUUGUUAUAUUUUUUUCAAUAUUUUAUAUUUUAUUUGUUAUAAUAGAAUCAACUGAUAGUAUGGAUUUGUACAUAAUAGAACCAAUAUUUUAUAUAUUUUUGUUUUUAAAAAAUAUUCUAUAUUUUUUUGAAAUAUUUUAUUCUAAAAUUAAUUAUUUUCUUUUAAAUUUAGACCAAUAGAUAGUGUCUUUUUAAACAAGCGCUAUCUAUUGUCUCCUACCAAUAGAUAACGCUUAUUUAAAAAAGCAUUAUCUAUUAGUGGCUGACAAUAGAUAACGCUUCUUUUAUAAGCGCUAUCUAUUAGAUAGCACUGACAUAGAUAGCGCUUAAAAAGUGCUAUCUAUGAUAAAAAAAAAAAACACUAUCUAUGCACUUUUUUGUAGUAGUGUCACCACAAGUGUAUGACCCGCAAUAACUCGACAUACAUACCUUAUCCAGAUAGUCAGUCUAGAACUGUAUGCAUAAGAUUUGUUUGAUUCAUUUGUGGUGUGUAAUAUUUACACUUAAAUUAUAUCUUUGUUUUUUUAUAUAUUAGCUUACUCUUACUUCUGUGUUAUCUGUUUCUGUGUUAUUUGUUUCUGUGUUAUCUGUUUCUGUGUUAUCUAUUUCUGUGUUAUCUGUUUCUGUGUUUUAUUUUCUCUUUUGCAUUGAUCACCUUAAUUAUGUGAACUUAGGAAGAUUCCAAUAAUAAACAAACAUUAGAAAAUAGUGGAAUUAAGACACAAAAUAGAAGAUUUGGUAUUAAUUUUUCUUCAACAUUUUUUAUUAAGUGAAAUUUCUUUUCUUUAGAUGUUACAAAAAUCAUGCUUUUUAUCCUUCUUUCUAAUUGAAGAACUAAUAAUACGAGAGAUUCAAUUUUGAUAAACAACAUAUAUUUAUUUCUAUUUUUUUUCAUUCUUAUCUUAAUAUCUUGAUAUUAUUAUAGUUAAUUAUCACGAUAACAAAAACAAAAUAUCAAAAUUAUGUUUAAAAAAAACGUCUUCGAGAAUUAAAAAUAAAUAUAUAUUUAAAUUGAUCUUUAACUUUAAAUCAUAAAAAAUAUUAAACUUUUGAAAUAUUAAAAUAAGUAUUGAAAUAUACAUUUUGUUUUCAGUUUCUCAUUUAUAAAAGUGUAGUUUUUAUGCUUAGUACCAUAACUUGAAAGAAGAUAUUUUAGAAAAAAAAAAUUGCAAUUACCACAUUUGUAGGCGAUGAUUUUAUCCACAUAAGUAGGUACACAAAAAUUGGAAACAAAUUUAGCCGAUAUUUAAAUAUGUUGGUACGAUUUAAUUUGAUAAGAGUGACAGAAAAUUGGAGAAUUGUAGUAUAUCCAAUGGCUUUAGAAAGUGAUGUGACAGAAGAAUUAAUGAU
rnacentral:lncRNA from 1 species